GAGGGUAUAGCUCAGGGGUAGUGUGUGUACUUAGCAUGCACAAGGUCCUGGGUUUAAUCCCCAAUACCUCCA
rnacentral:tRNA from 1 species